rnacentral:lncRNA from 1 species
AUGUUAUGAGACAAAUUAAUAACAUUAAUCAUGGUUAUAGUAAGAUAUCCAAGUCUUCAAAAAAAAAAGAGAGGAAGGAACGAUACUGGAAGCUCAAUGCAUGAAGAGUUAUCAGAGAAAGUCAAUACUAGUAAUCUAGAUAUAGAGGUAUUUGAGGAUGCUGAUAAUUUCUUCAAAUAUAAUGAAAAUAUUGAUAGAUAUGAAAAUAAUGAUAUAAUAAUGGUAGUAUCU